rnacentral:piRNA from 1 species
UGGGAUAGGAGAGCCAGAACGCUCAUGGU